ensembl:Y_RNA Y_RNA Y RNA
GGCUGGUCAGAGUGCAGUGGUGUUUACAACUAAUUGAUCACAACCAAUUACAGAUUUCUUUGUUCCUUCUCCACUCCCACUGCUUCACUUGACUAACCUUUG